rnacentral:rRNA from 1 species
CAGUCGCCACGGGAAUACGUAAGGGGCGAGCGUUGUUCGGAAUUAUUGGGCGUAAAGGGUAUGUAGGCGGUUAGGUAAGCCUGGUGUGAAAUCUACGAGCUCAACUCGUGAACUGCAUUGGGUACUGCUUGACUUGAAUCACGGAGGGGAAACCGGAAUUCCAAGUGUAGGGGUGGAAUCUGUAGAUAUUUGGAAGAACACCGGUGGCGAAGGCGGGUUUCUGGCCGAUGAUUGACGCUGAUAUACGAAGGUGCGGGGAGCAAACAGGAUUAGAUACCCCUGUAGUCCCUGUCUCUUAUAC